GCAUGUGUAUGCGCCCACAUACAUACACAAUAAAUAAGUGUAAAAAAUUAAAAAUUAUGGUUGGAACAGUGCAUGUCUGCACUCUUACAAUACACACCACAUCUGACACACAUAAAGAUAAAUAAAAUGAAGAAUUUUAUAAUACAUGAAAAUUUAUACCUUGCAGAAAUGUCAAGACAGGAUUUAUUGACAGCCAUAGUCUUGACUCUAAACAUUUUAUAAUGUUUAUGCCAUUGUUUUGGGAUUAAAUGUUUUAAAUUUUCUUAAGAGAAAUAGCAUUUGUCCAUAAAUUCUUCAGUAUGGAUCCCUUAAUAAAUAAGAUUCUUCCCCUACGUAGUUAUAACUCAACGGUUGGGUUCACUCAGUUGUUUUGAAAUUCUUUUAUGGGUGAUUUACUCAAACCAAGUUCUCCUGAUCAAGGAGUAAACAUUGCAUUCGGUAAUGUUGGUUAAGUUUUAAUCUGUACAACACUCUCCCGCUUGCCUGUCUGUGUGUGAGUCUGUCUGUGAAGGUGACUUGUCUGAGGAGAAUCAGUGACUCUGUCUAUGAAGGUGACUUGUCUGAGGAGAAUCAGUGACUCUGUUUAUGAAGGUGACUUGUCUGAGGAGAAUCAGUGAAUCUGUCUAUGAAGGUGACUUGUCUGAGGAGAAUCAGUGACUCUGUCUAUGAAGGUGACUUGUCUGAGGAGAAUCAGUGACUCUGUCUGUGAAGGUGACUUGUCUGAGGAGAAUCAGUGACUCUGUCUGUGAAGGUGACUUGUCUGAGGAGAAUCAGUGACUCUGUCUAUGAAGGUGACUUGUCUGAGGAGAAUCAGUGACUCUGUCUAUGAAGGUGACUUGUCUGAGGAGAAUCAGUGACUCUGUCUAUGAAGGUGACUUGUCUGAGGAGAAUCAGUGACUCUGUCUAUGAAGGUGACUUGUCUGAGGAGAAUCAGUGACUGUGUCUAUGAAGGUGACUUGUCUGAGAAUCAGUCCAGUUACCUUGCAGAAUGUUUCUUCCAGGCUUUUCACAUUUCCUUUAAUGGCACCACUCAGCUCUUCAUUCUACCCUGGUUUUCUUGUUGGAAAUUAGUUCUGAAGACUUGGCUUAGCCCACUUGAGUUACUACUGUAACACAAUGCCAGGGACUGGCUAGUGUAUAAACCCCAGAACUCAUUGCAAAGCAGCUCUAGAGGCUGCAGGCCCAAGGUCCAGGCUCUGGUUAUUUUGGUGUCUGGUGAGGGCCCAUUUUCUGGCUCACAGAAUGGUGCUUUCUUACUGUAGCUUCACUAAGUGGGAGGGCCUAGCUAAUUCUUCAGGACUUUAAAUGUCAACCACAAGGACUCCAUCCUCACCACCUAAUCAUUCCCAGAAUGCCUUACCUCCAACCGUCACCUUAGGCUUUCAAUGUAUGAAUUUUGUGGGACCGGAACAUUCAGCCCGUUUGCAAAGUUCAGUGGAUUCAGCUUUAACUUACUUUCUAGUGAGAGUAUUUCAAAGCCUGAUGUGGGGGGUACAAGCCUCUGAUGCCAGCAUUUGGGAGGCUGAUGUCAACUUGGGCUACGAAGUGAGACUGUCUCAAGGAACCAAAACAAGAACAAACAUAGUUAAUUCAGUAUAUUCGUUUUUCCAGACAUUCAGUUUUUCUUCUGCUCCAUCCUCCCUGUCCUACAGCUGGAAUCACCUUUUGGAAUAUCCACUUGGUCUCCUCACUGUCACCCCCUCAUCCCAAUUCAGAAACACAUCAAUCAGCACUCUGGGGGUCGGUCUCUGAACUACCUGUAUCUUGUGAAACACCGCUGUGUGGUCUCAGCAUUCCUGUGACAAUAGAAGGACUUCGGAGUCCUGCUGGUCAGUGUUCCUAUACCCCACCAUGUCUUCCUUGGUUUUAGUCAGUUGUGGGCUCAACUUUAUACUGUGUGCAUAUUUGGUUUCUUUUUUUUUUCCCAGAAAAAAAUUAACAGGUUUAUUUAUAAUUGUUAUAAAGUCGAACUGUUGAGAUGUGCUCACUAAAAUAUUUUGCUUGCACUAAUGCUUUAUCCUUUGCAUUUAUAUUAAAAAUUUGCAUGCAAAUGAAAAUAAAGAAGCGGUCAGAACUUGAUUCUAUCCCCCAUGUUUCCACUUGCAGUCAUACAUUUAGGUACCUUUUGACCCCAUGGAAAAAUAUCUAGCAUUUAGAACUACUGAGAACAGGAAGAAGAGGAAAACUUCUUUGAGAAUGAAAUGUUUCCCCUCACAGCGGACUCUUAAGCACCUUCUUCACCAAUGCAGCGUGCUAGCUGGAUAUCUUUUGGCAUAACUGUUGCACACUUGGCAUAGAGAGCACACAGGUUGCUCUCUUCAAAAUGAACAACCAGCUCUUGGCAAAGCACCAACAGCUGCACUCUGGAUGCGCAGAUCUGUCUUGAAGUCUUGAGCAAUUUCUUGCACCAGACCCUGGAAGGGGAGCUUGCGAAUCAGAAGUUCAGUGGACUUCUGAUAGUGUCUGAUGUCAUGGCAUGCCACAGUACCAGGGGCAGCCUGUUUUUUUAUGAGCCAUAGUAUGGAUACCUCCUUACCCUGCUUCUCCUUAGGCUGGAGCUCCGCAAGCAAGAGGGAUUGCUGGCCUUAGACAGCAGUGGUGGCGUGGGCUGUGAACACAAUUUGCAAGUUUGGUUUCUUACCAAUAUUUCCUUAGUGGCUUGAAAUCCACUUCUGAUCAUCUCUUAAACUACUUCAUUGGCGGCUUCAAAAUAGUGUUUCUCUAAUUCUCAAAUUACAUUAGAUGGCAUUCGUGUGUGUGUGUGUGUGUGUGUGUGUGUGUGUGUGUGUGUGUGUGUUUGUGUGUGUUGGCAGAGGCAUGUAUACCAUACCAUGUUUGGGGUCAGAAGACAAUUUUUUGGAGUUGGUUCUCUCCUUCCACCAGGUGGAUCCUGGGGAUUAAAUUCAGGUUCUCAGGCUUGGCAGCAGAUAUAUUUACCUACUCAGGCAUUUCCUCAGCCCCAUGGCAUGGGUGGUUUGAAUGGGUUUGGCCCCAGACAUUCAUGAGUUUGAAUACUUGGCCCACUGGAGGGGUAAUAGUAGGAGGUAUGGCCUCACUGGAGUAGGUGUGGCUUUGUUGGAGGAAGUGUGUUACUGUGAGAGUGAGCUUUGAGGUCUCCUAUGCUCAAGCUCUGCCUAGUGUGGAAUUCCAGUCUCCUCCUGGCUGCCUUCAGAUCAAGAUGUAGAACUUUGGGCUCCUCCAGCACCACGUCUGCUUGCACACUGCCAUGUUUCCUGCCAUGAUGAUACCUCUGAACCUGUAAGCCAGCCCCAGUUAACUGUUCGCCUUUAUAAGAGUGGCCUUGGCUGUGGUGUCUCUUCACAGCAAUGAAUGCCAACUAAGACACCUUGCUUAUCACGUGGGGGUGACCUCAGGUACUCAUGUUUGCAAUGGAAGCACUUUACCAACUGAGCUAUCUCCCCAGUCUUUAGGGAGCCUUCUUUUAGAACCCUUACAUGUCCUUACAAUGGAGCUACUUAGUUAUUCCUUCUGGAAAGGAGACACCCUGUUUCUUUCCUUCUUUUCACACUGCCAACUCUGGAGCAGGGGGCUGGGAAAAUAGCCACCCCCACAACUGAAGUUUAUGACAACUCAGUGUGUGUCGCUUUUGGUUUUUGGGAAUGCACCAGGAAAUCUUGGAUUUUUAUGCAGUCAAUUUCACUGGAUUAAUAAA